AAGUCGUAACAAGGUUUCCGUAGGUGAACCUGCGGAAGGUCAUUACAAGUGAGGCUACCGAACGCUGGAAACAGCGGUUAGGAGCUUACACCCACCCCGUGUUUUACAUACUAUUUGUUGCUUUGGGCGGGCCCGUGGCCUCCACUGCGGGCUCUGUCGUGUGUGCCCGCCAGAGGACCAAAACUCUGAAUGUUAGUGAUGUCAAGUACUAUCUAAUAGUUAAAAA
rnacentral:misc_RNA from 1 species